CCCUUGUGUGCAGGAGGGCUGUGUGUAGUUCUGCAUUCCCCUGCAGAAGAUGCAAGUUGAUAUAAGGCUAUCUGUGGGCUGUGGAGCUACAAGCUGGAAGCCAAAAGAGAGGAGAAUCAGAUGUGGAGCACCUAUUAAGUACAGCUAGACAAAUGCAAAUCAGAUAGGGCAAGUGGUGUUUAGCUGUCCAGGAAAAUAGUGAGCAAGACCUAAUGCAUUAUAGAAGAGGAGGAAGCAAUCUGAUGGCUUCUUGGCUAUGCAGAGGCUCACCGCUGCCGCCAUUUUGGCUGCUCACCUCAAUGGAAGAGCACACCUGCCUCCUCAGCACGGCAUGUCAGAGGGAACGCCAGCUUUUCCCCUCUUUCACCAGCAGCUUUUAAAUAAAAAGGAAACCAGAAUGAUGAAACUCUGCUGCAUGGAGGGCAUCUUUGUCACACACGUGGAAGGUCAACACAGUGGGGAGAUAAAGGGAUAUAUGCUGAAGGAACUGUGUAGAUGACAGUGACAGACAAGAAACCAGCAUCCAGUGAUUGAACUGAGCAUGAAAAGGCAACACAGGAGGUUUUGUCAAAGAGCAGAACACCGUGCAGAAAAGGGACUGCUCCUGCCUGCACAAGAACAGCCAGACCUUAGAGGCUUCAUGGCACAAUCCAAGCUGCUGUCAUAGAGUACUUUAACCAUAAAUUAAACUUCAGGAAUGCAGAACAAGGAUCAACUAUAUUUCAAAUUGACCCUAAGUGAGAUACCAAUAUAAGUAUUGUAAUAUAGCUAAUGACCUGCAGAUUCUUCAUAUAACAAGAGAAGCCCACAUAAUUUUGCAUGCUUGCAAAACAGUACCUACCCAUUUUCUUCAUUUGCAUGACAAACUGUAGUACUAAAAUCCUGAUUCAUAUUAAUUCAAUACUAGAGUAUUACUGAUGUAAAACUACUGAUUUAGUAUUAUGAAAUUGAUUAAUAAACUACAGAUAAAUGCCACUCUGGUGGAAAUAUAGACAUUUGUAAA
ensembl:lncRNA